AUUGAACGCUGGCGGCAUGCCUUACACAUGCAAGUCGAACGGUAACGGGUCCUUCGGGAUGCCGACGAGUGGCGAACGGGUGAGUAAUAUAUCGGAACGUGCCCAGUAGUGGGGGGUAACUGCUCGAAAGAGCAGCUAAUACCGCAUACGACCUGAGGGUGAAAGGGGGGGAUCGCAAGACCUCUCGCUAUUGGAGCGGCCGAUAUCAGAUUAGCUAGUUGGUGGGGUAAAGGCCUACCAAGGCAACGAUCUGUAGUUGGUCUGAGAGGACGACCAGCCACACUGGGACUGAAACACGGCCCAGACUCCUACGGGAGGCAGCAGUGGGGAAUUUUGGACAAUGGGCGCAAGCCUGAUCCAGCAAUGCCGCGUGCAGGAAGAAGGCCUUCGGGUUGUAAACUGCUUUUGUCAGGGAAGAAAUCUUCUGGGCUAAUACCCCGGGAGGAUGACGGUACCUGAAGAAUAAGCACCGGCUAACUUCGUGCCAGCAGCCGCAGUAA
rnacentral:rRNA from 1 species